rnacentral:rRNA from 1 species
AUUGAACGCUGGCGGCAGGCCUAACACAUGCAAGUCGAGCGGAUGAAGGGUGCUUGCUCUUGGAUUCAGCGGCGGGCGGGUGUGUAAUGCCUAGGAACCUGCCUCGUCGUGGGGGAUAACGUCCGGAAACGGGCGCUAAUACCGCAUACGUCCUGUGGUGGAAGGUGGGGGUUCUUCGGACCUCACGCUUUUGGAUGAGCCUAGGUCGGAUUAGCUAGUUGGUGGGGUAAAGGCCUACCAAGGCGGCGAUCCGUAACUGGUCUGAGAGGAUGAUCAGUCACACUGGAACUGAGACACGGUCCAGACUCCUACGGGAGGCAGCAGUGGGGAAUAUUGGACAAUGGGCGAAAGCCUGAUCCAGCCAUGCCGCGUGGGUGAAGAAGGUCUUCGGAUUGUAAAGCACUUUAAGUUGGGAGGAAGGGCAGUAAGAGAAUACCUUGCUGUUUUGACGGUACCAACAGAAUAAGCACCGGCUAACUUCGUG